rnacentral:rRNA from 1 species
GUGGGGAAUAUUGGGCAAUGGGGGAAACCCUGACCCAGCAACGCCGCGUGAAGGAAGAAGGUUUUCGGAUCGUAAACUUCUAUCCUUGGUGAAGAUAAUGACGGUAGCCAAGAAGGAAGCCCCGGCUAACUACGUGCCAGCAGCCGCGGUAAUACGUAGGGGGCAAGCGUUGUCCGGAAUGAUUGGGCGUAAAGGGCGCGUAGGCGGCCUGGUAAGUCUGGAGUGAAAGUCCUGCUUUUAAGGUGGGAAUUGCUUUGGAUACUGUCGGGCUUGAGUGCAGGAGAGGUAAGCGGAAUUCCCGGUGUAGCGGUGAAAUGCGUAGAGAUCGGGAGGAACACCAGUGGCGAAGGCGGCUUACUGGACUGUAACUGACGCUGAGGCGCGAAAGCGUGGGGAGCAAACAGGAUUAGAAACCCUGGUAGUCC